rnacentral:rRNA from 1 species
CGCCGCGUGAGGGACGACGGCCUUCGGGUUGUAAACCUCUUUUAGCAGGAAAGAAGCGAAAGUGACGGUACCUGCAGAAAAAGCGCCGGCUAACUACGUGCCAGCAGCCGCGGUAAUACGUAGGGCGCAAGCGUUAUCCGGAAUUAUUGGGCGUAAAGAGCUCGUAGGCGGUCUGUCGCGUCUGCUGUGAAAACCCGAGGCUCAACCUCGGGCCUGCAGUGGGUACGGGCAGACUAGAGUGCGGUAGGGGAGAUUGGAAUUCCUGGUGUAGCGGUGGAAUGCGCAGAUAUCAGGAGGAACACCGAUGGCGAAGGCAGAUCUCUGGGCCGUAACUGACGCUGAGGAGCGAAAGGGUGGGGAGCAAACAGGCUUAGAUACCCUGGUAGUCCACCCCGUAAACGUUGGGAACUAGUUGUGGGGUCCAUUCCACGGAUUCCGUGACGCAGCUAACGCAUUAAGUUCCCCGCCUGGGGAGUACGGCCGCAAGGCUAAAACUCAAAGGAAUUGACGGGGACCCGCACAAGCGGCGGAGCAUGCGGAUUAAUUCGAUGCAACGCGAAGAACCUUACCAAGGCUUGACAUAUACGAGAACGGGCCAGAAAUGGUCAACUCUUUGGACACUCGUAAACAGGUGGUGCAUGGUUGUCGUCAGCUCGUGUCGUGAGAUGUUGGGUUAAGUCCCGCAACGAGCGCAACCCUCGUUCUAUGUUG